ACGGGAGGCAGCAGUGGGGAAUUUUGGACAAUGGGCGAAAGCCUGAUCCAGCAAUGCCGCGUGCAGGAUGAAGGCCUUCGGGUUGUAAACUGCUUUUGUACGGAACGAAAAGCCUUGGGUUAAUACCCUGGGGUCAUGACGGUACCGUAAGAAUAAGCACCGGCUAACUACGUGCCAGCAGCCGCGGUAAUACGUAGGGUGCGAGCGUUAAUCGGAAUUACUGGGCGUAAAGCGUGCGCAGGCGGUUUUGUAAGACAGAGGUGAAAUCCCCGGGCUCAACCUGGGAACUGCCUUUGUGACUGCAAGGCUAGAGUACGGCAGAGGGGGAUGGAAUUCCGCGUGUAGCAGUGAAAUGCGUAGAUAUGCGGAGGAACACCGAUGGCGAAGGCAAUCCCCUGGGCCUGUACUGACGCUCAUGCACGAAAGCGUGGGGAGCAAACAGGAUUAGAUACCCUGGUAGUCCACGCCCUAAACGAUGUCAACUGGUUGUUGGGUCUUAACUGACUCAGUAACGAAGCUAACGCGUGAAGUGACC
rnacentral:rRNA from 1 species